rnacentral:misc_RNA from 1 species
AGCAGCCGCGGUAAUUCCAGCUCCAAUAGCGUAUAUUAAAGUUGUUGCAGUUAAAAGCUCGUAGUUGAAUUUCGGGAUUAACGUAAUGGUCGUGCCUUAAGGGGUAUGAACUGUUACUGUUGAUUUCUCACCUUCUGGAGAAUCUUGAUGUCCUUAAUUGGGUGUCUUGUGGAUCCAGGACCUUUACCUUGAAAAAUUGAGUGUUUAAAGCAGGCAUUUUACUCGAAUACAUUAGCAUGGAAUAAUAGAAUAGGACGGCAUGGUUCUAUUUUGUUGGUUUCUAGGAUCACCGUAAUGAUUAAUAGGGAUAGUUGGGGGCAUUAGUAUUCAAUUGUCAGAGGUGAAAUUCUUGGAUUUAUUGAAGACUAACUACUGCGAAAGCAUUUGCCAAGGAUGUUUUCAUUAAUCAAGAACGAAAGUUAGGGAUCGAAGACGAUCAGAUACCGUCGUAGUCUUAACCAUAAACUAUGCCGACUAGGAAUCAGACGAUGUUAAUUUUUAAUGUACUUCGUUUGCUACC